AUCCAGUUGACGAGACCCAAACAGGACGAAACGCGCGUCCUGGAU
rfam:Schistosoma mansoni strain Puerto Rico chromosome W, complete genome